rnacentral:rRNA from 1 species
AGAAUCAACGCUGGCGGCGUGCCUAACACAUGCAAGUCGAACGAGAAAGUGGAGCAAUCCAUGAGUAAAGUGGCGACCGGGUGAGUAACACGUGACUAACCUACCUUUCAGUGGGGAAUAACCUCGGGAAACCGGGCUAAUACCGCAUAAUGUCUUCGGACCAAAGGAGCAAUUCGCUGAAAGAGGGGGUCGCGGCCGAUUAGCUAGUUGGCGGGGUAACGGCCCACCAAGGCAAUGAUCGGUAG